UCUAUGCUUCCGCCAGCGGUCCCCUCUUUGGGGCCCAAUGCUCCAGUGAGAGUCAGGGGUUUCUGUUCCUGGCAACCACUGGCGCCCGGGUGCGGUGACGCUCUGCUGAGCUGUGCCCGGGGCCCCGGCGAGCCAUUCGGUUUGUCGGAGGGGUGGCCCACCACCUCGAUCCCGUCCCUCGAGGAACGACUCGAUGA
rfam:Synechococcus sp. RS9917 scf_1099465004208 genomic scaffold, whole genome shotgun sequence.